rnacentral:rRNA from 1 species
UACGUAGGGUGCGAGCGUUAAUCGGAAUUACUGGGCGUAAAGCGUGCGCAGGCGGUUGUGCAAGACAGAUGGGAAAUCCCCGGGCUUAACCUGGGAACUGCAUUUGUGACUGCACGACUAGAGUGUGUCAGAGGGGGGUAGAAUUCCACGUGUAGCAGUGAAAUGCGUAGAUAUGUGGAGGAAUACCGAUGGCGAAGGCAGCCCCCUGGGAUAACACUGACGCUCAUGCACGAAAGCGUGGGGAGCAAACAGG